rnacentral:rRNA from 1 species
AUGAACGCUGGCGGCGUGCCUAAUACCUGCAAGUCGAGCGAACGGACGAGAAGCUUGCUUUUCUGAUGUUAGCGGCGGACGGGUGAGUAACACGUGGAUAACCUACCUAUAAGACUGGGAUAACUUCGGGAAACCGGAGCUAAUACCGGAUAAUAUUUUGAACCGCAUGGUUCAUAAGUGAAAGACGGUCUUGCUGUCACUUAUAGAUGGAUCCGCGCUGCAUUAGCUAGUUGGUAAGGUAACGGCUUACCAAGGCAACGAUGCAUAGCCGACCUGAGAGGGUGAUCGGCCACACUGGAACUGAGACACGGUCCAGACUCCUACGGGAGGCAGCAGUAGGGAAUCUUCCGCAAUGGGCGAAAGCCUGACGGAGCAACGCCGCGUGAGUGAUGAAGGUCUUCGGAUCGUAAAACUCUGUUAUUAGGGAAGAACAUAUGUGUAAGUAACUGUGCACAUCUUGACGGUACCUAAUCAGAAAGCCACGGCUAACUACGUG